CACUGACAUUAGAUACCCGUGUAGUCCAGGGUGUAAACGCUGCAGACUUGGUGUUGGAAGCCCUUUGGGGCAUUCAGUGCCGGAGAGAAGUUGUUAAGUCUGCUACUUGGGAGUACGUCCGCAAGGAUGAAACUUAAAGGAAUUGGCGGGGGAGCACCGCAACGGGAGGAGCGUGCGGUUUAAUUGGAUUCAACACCGUAAACUCACCAGGGAAGACUGUUACAUGAAGGCCGAGAUGAAGACUCUGCUAGAUUUCAG
rnacentral:rRNA from 1 species